rnacentral:rRNA from 1 species
AUACGGAGGGUGCGAGCGUUAAUCGGAAUUACUGGGCGUAAAGCGCGCGUAGGCGGAUAAUUAAGUCAGAUGUGAAAUCCCCGGGCUCAACCUGGGAACUGCAUUUGAUACUGAUUAACUAGAGUAUGGUAGAGGUGAGUGGAAUUUCCGGUGUAGCGGUGAAAUGCGUAGAGAUCGGAAGGAACACCAGUGGCGAAGGCGACUCACUGGGCCAUUACUGACGCUGAGGUGCGAAAGCGUGGGUAGCAAACAGGAUUAGAUACCCCAGUAGUCC